CUUAAAACUUUGAGCGGAAGUCCAUAAGGAAAAGCCCAAAGACCACAAUAUCAAUAUCGACUAGUGGUGGGAUUGAACUAUUACCAAUGGUAUGAGAGCCAGGCACCGCACGGUGUACCAGUGAGAACGUUGGGUCUCCGAAGGAGAGUGGAUUGUGAGAUCCCACGUCAGUUGGAGAGAGGGAA